GAUUAGGUGGCUGAGUGGUUAAGGUGAUGCCCUGCUAGUUAUUCUUCUUUGCAUGUGUGGGUUCGAAUCCCAUCCUCGUCG
rnacentral:tRNA from 1 species